AUAGCCCACAAAACUAAACCUAUUACAUUUCAUGCAUUAUUAUUUUAUUUCUUACAAAGGGUUUUACUCAUAUUUCUCCUCCUCUCUCCCUGUCUCUCGCUUCCAUUACGCCCUAGUCUUCGCAGAACCCAAUAGACUCUCGAAACUCCUAAAUCAAAAAUCCCUUCCUCCGUGGUUUUAAAUCCUAGGGUUUUACUUUUUGCCCUAAAUUUUUUAAUUUAAGAAUCCCUAUUUACAGUCUCUGUAUUGUAGAUUCAAUCAAUCGGAGAAACCAAGUAAGUUUGUUUGUUUUGUCAUUUCAGUAAUUUUGUUUUGUCAAUUUCUCCAUGUUAUAGAGAAAUAUAGUGGAACUGAAAAUCAUUGAAACCUAGAAAGAUUGGUUAAGGGUUUGUGUUUAUUUAUUUAUUAGGUUUAGAGAUUCACCAUUUAUUUUUCUAUACCUAUUUCUUUCACUUGUCAUGCGAGAGAAGGGUAAAACUGUUUUUCCUAAACAAAAACAACACACAGAUUCUGAUAGAUUUGUCAAAGUUAAGAAGAAAGAGAAGAGUUUAGAUGCUAUUUGUGAACAAGUAUAUAAUCAACAUCGUGUUAGUAAAGAUGAGAACAAUGCCGAAGAGGUUGGAUCAGACUCUGGAUUACUUCGUAGGAGUACUCGUGCUAGGAGAGCACCUAUGGUACUUGAUGCAUCCCCUUCUCCUCCUGUAAGAAAGAGGCGUGGAUUUGAUAAUGGCAGUGGUGGUGGUUCUGUGUCUUUCAGAAAUAAGGAUUGGAUUGAAGAUGGAUUGAAGAAGACCUCUUCAUCCAGGAGUUCUGAAAAUCUGGAUGAAUCGAGUGGUUGGACGUCAAGGCUUAGAUCUAGAGCUGGUAAUGUUAACUUUGCAUUAAUGGGAAAGAGUUGCUCUCCUCGGGGUAAGAGGAAACUUAUAUAUGACGAGGAUGAGUCAGGAGAAGGAUCCGAGGUGAAUGGUAGUGAAAUGAAUAACAAGAAGGAAGAGUUUAAAGAGGCAACAUCAACUGUAGUUAAGGAGAAUAUGGUCGUUAAUGAUGAAACCAACGGUUUGAAGGCUCACAAGGCUGAUAAUCAACCAACUCCGUCUUCUGAUAAAGUAGAACAAAACAAUGAUAUGAAUGUUGAAGAUCAAAAUGACACGGAAGUUACUCCAGUUAGUUUUAGACAGGAAACUGAGGAAGGGGAGGGGCAAAGGGCGGGUAGUUUGAAAUUUGAUGUGAAGCAGAGUGGAAGCAAGUAUGUGGAGACAAUGGCGGAAUUUGAUGAGCAGCUGAAAAAAGUAGGUAGUGAAAAGGAAGAAGGGAACCAAGUAAAUGCUGUGGAAAUGGAGGAAAUUCAGGCAGAACAAUUAGAUAUAUGUGGGUCUUGUGAGGACAAGGAUACCUCGCUAGGCGACCUUGGUGGAGAGCCUGUAGUGGAUGAGAAUAAUACAAAGAUGGAUGAGAAUAGCACAAAGAUGGAUGAGAAUAACACAAAGAUGGAUGAGAAUAAUAUAAAGAUGGAUGAGUUGAAACAAUUUCGAACUGGUACUCCCUACAAGACUCGGAUAAGAGAAGGGCGAAGAUGUGGUUUGUGUGGCGGAGGGACUGAUGGAAAACCUGCAAGAAAGUUGGUCCAUUAUUCGGCUGAGAGUGAUGAUGAGGCAUAUGGGGGGUCAUCAGCUUCAGAGGAGAUCAAUAUCAGUUAUAAUGUGUUGGAUGGCUUUGUGGACGAACCUGGCUGGCUUGGACGUCUUUUGGGUCCCAUAAACGAUCGCUUUGGCAUUGCUGGUGUAUGGGUUCAUCAAAACUGUGCUGUGUGGAGUCCAGAGGUGUAUUUUGCCGGUUUAGGAUGCCUGAAAAAUGUAAAAGCAGCUCUUUGUAGGGGAAGAUCAUUGAAAUGCAGCCGCUGUGGGAGGCCAGGAGCAACUAUUGGAUGCCGUGUCGAUCGAUGUCCUAAAACUUACCACUUGCCUUGUGCGCGAGUUGAGGGUUGCGUUUUUGAUCACCGCAAGUUUCUCAUAGCUUGUGAAGAUCAUCGACACUUUUUCCAACCCCAUCAUUUGAAGUGGAUGAAAAAGCUGAAAAUUCAGAAAAUGAAGUUGGAAAUGAUGAAGAUUUCACAUGACGCUUCACGUAAGGAUCUUGAGGUAGAGGAAAAAUGGUUGGAGAACUGUGGUGAGGAUGAAGAGUUCUUGAAACGUGAGGGAAAGAGGCUACAUCGAGAUCUCCUGAGAAUUGCACCUGUGUAUAUUGGAGGUUCUAACUCGGAAAAUGAAAAAAUACACCAGGGUUGGGAAUCUGUUGCUGGCCUUCAAGACGUCAUCCAAUGUAUGAAGGAGGUUGUCAUAUUGCCUCUUCUGUAUCCAGAGUUGUUUAGUACUUUAGGGAUUACACCACCUAGAGGAGUUCUUUUGCAUGGUUAUCCUGGAACAGGAAAAACGCUAGUAGUGCGAGCGUUGAUUGGUUCAUGUGCUCGUGGUGAUAAGCGGAUAGCGUAUUUUGCUCGUAAGGGUGCAGAUUGUUUAGGAAAGUAUGUUGGUGAUGCCGAGCGCCAGCUAAGACUCCUGUUUCAGGUUGCUGAGAAAUCUCAGCCGUCUAUAAUAUUUUUUGACGAGAUUGAUGGGUUGGCACCAUGUCGGACGAGGCAGCAAGAUCAAACACAUAACUCUGUUGUGUCAACUUUGUUGGCGCUACUGGAUGGUCUGAAAUCUCGUGGUUCAGUCAUAGUAAUUGGGGCCACAAAUCGUCCUGAGGCAGUUGACCCUGCUUUGAGGAGGCCGGGAAGAUUUGAUAGGGAAAUUUACUUUCCAUUGCCAUCAGUUAAAGAUAGAGCUGAUAUUCUGUCAUUUCACACUCAAACGUGGCCAAAACCUGUAAAUGGGGCGCUGCUGAAGUGGAUUUCCCAGCAAACUGUGGGCUUCGCUGGUGCAGAUCUGCAAGCUCUUUGUACUCAAGCAGCCAUGAUUGCUUUAAAGCGGAACUGUGCCUGGCAAGACUUAAUGGUAUUGGUUGCAGAAAAGAAAGCUAACAAUGAUAAAUGUCCCCCACUUCCUUCCUUUUCUGUGGAAGAAAGGGAUUGGUUAGAUGCUCUCGCAUGUGCCCCUCCCCCGUGUUCUCGUAGAGAAGCAGGAAUGGCUGCAAGUGAUGUGGUUUCUUCUCCUCUUCAAACUCAUCUAACUCCCUGUCUGCUACAACCGUUAUCGCAUUUGCUUGUUUCCCUUUUUCUUGAUGAGCGCAUAUGGUUGCCACCUUCUCUUUACAAAGCAGCUGAGUUGAUUAAAAACGUUAUCAUCACGGCGUUGGAGAAGCGGCAUACGUGUAGUAAAUCCUGGUGGUGUCAUCUUCAUGAUUUAGUUCAGGAAGCAGAUAUUGUCGAAGAAAUAGAAAAAAAUCUAUUUCGUAGUGGCCUUUUAAUCGGGCCUUCUAGUGUUGCAGAUUCAGAUGUGGUAGAUGAUGAUGAUGCCAAUAAAGAAAAUGAGAAAUUUGAACUUCACAAAGUGAAUCUAGCUGGCGCACGUGCUAAUUUGUUGAGCAAUGUUUCAUAUUCAUCAGGCAGAGGAUCGGGAUUUAGGGUAUUGGUUGUUGGAUGUCCCAGAUCUGGUCAAAGUCACCUUGCCUCUUGUCUUCUCCAUAGUUUUGUGGGGCGUGUCGAAAUCCAGAAGGUUAAUCAGGCUACUAUUUCACAAGAAGGACAAGGAGAUGUAGUCCAAGGCGUAACCCGAAUAUUGCUGAAGUGUGCACGCGCGGGCUUGUGCAUUAUUUACUUACCCAGAAUUGAUUUGUGGGCCAUGGAGGCAAACAAUCUGGUUGCUGAAAGCGAGAGUGAUACAUCUGAUAAUGCAUACAAAUCAACUGAUACAACAGUGGCUUAUGAUGCUAGAAGAACUGCCUCACAGGCGUGGAAUACUUUUAUUGAGCAGGUGGAUUCAACAUGUUUGUCCACAUCCUUGAUAAUUCUGGCUACUUCUGAGGUGCCAAAUCAAGUACUCCCUUUCAGAAUAAGUCAGUUCUUUACAAGUCAUGUGUCCCACUGUAGCAAAUUAGCCCCUUCCGAACACACCGUACCACGAUUUCUCGUUCAACUUGACGAGAACUUCGAUUGCAGCAUGGCAAUCAACUCAUCUGCAAAAGAGUUGUCAUGGCGUUUGGUUCAACAUUACGUUCAGUUAAUUCAUGACCGAACUCAUAUAGCUAAUAUAUCCAAGGAACAUACUGUUACUGCUGCAGUUGUGGAUAAUCCCAUUACCGAGAAAUACCAUAAAGAGAACGGAGUAGUCGAAGAAGGAUCCUACGCUGUGACAUCUGGAAGGCGCGUAUAUAUUGGCAACCAAAGUCAGCAACACACUAGCUGUGAUGAACCAUCUCCAGUGGUGUUAAGAUCUACCGACCAUCAUGAAAUUGAGGACACACCAGGUUACUCUCAAGAUUCUGUUCCGAAAAUUCUCCCAAGUAGAACUUUAAAAGGGAAACCGAGCUUGUUAUGUGCAAUAUCUACAUUUGGGUAUCAAAUUCUGCGAUAUCCUCAUUUCUCAGAACUCUGUUGGACUACAUCGAAACUAAAAGAAGGUCCUUGUACAAAUAUAAAUGGGCCUUGGAAAGGUUGGCCAUUUAAUGCAUGUAUUAUUCGUCCCAAGAUAUCGAUGGAGAGUGUAGCUGUUAGCUGGGACUCUAGUGAUACAAAAAACAGAGAGAAUUCUGGUGUUGUCAGAGGGCUUAUAGCUGUUGGUAUGUUGGCAUAUCAAGGUGCUUAUACAUCAGUUAUAGAAGUUUCCUCUAAUGUUCGAAAGGUUCUUGAGCUCUUAGUUGAACAGAUCAAUGCAAAAAUUUCGAGUGGGAAAGAUAGAAAUCGGUUCCUUCGUCUUCUUUCUCAAGUUGCUUAUCUAGAAGAUCUGGUGUACAGCUGGGCAUACACACUUCAGAGUUUAGAGUUGGACAGUCGAAUUCCCCUGUCAAGCACAGAUGCGGUAUUGGGGGGUUCUUCGGAAUUCCUAACUGGAAGUAAACCAUGCAUAUUAGGAAUUUCUGAAAAGAACUCCGAUGAAGUAAAAAUGCAUGGACAGAGUCCUCCGAGAUUUGUGAUCAAAAAUGACAAAUGCAUUGAUUCUAUAACGGAAUUUACUAAUCUUGGUUUACUCAACUCUGAGGUGAGAACCACAGUGGCCAUGGAGCAGUCUGAACAGUCGGUGUUUUCGGAUCACUCUUCUCCUGUUCUGCCUCAAAGUUCUUCCUUGGUUGCAAACUCGCUUACCGUUGAAAUCACUUCCACCACAUGUAGGAAGACCAAUGAAUUUAUAGGUGGUCUAUCUGAAAAGCAUGUCUCAGUUGCAGUCCAUCGUGAAGGUUUUGAGUCGUCAAAUGGUGUGGGACAGGAAGAAAUAACUUUUCCAUCUGAGGAUAGUGUUUGUAAUGAAUCAGGUGGCAAUAUGAACUCCAGAACUGAAAGUGUCAGCUACCAUUCUAAUGGUCUUGCAAUGGGAGAGACUGACAUUUCUAAUCGGAGGGUGGAUAUUCAUGAUGAUCCUGAUAAAGAUGUCAAUUCUAACUCUAACAAAAACAGUGAUGUUUCAGCUGUCUCUGGGGUAACUUGUUUUUAUAAUUGUUGCUCUGACUGCGUAUAUAAGAUCAACGGCUUGAUUCAGAAGCUUCUCAUUCACGAGAAGGAGAAAAAGGGAAACAGCUGGACUGUAGAAGAUGUUCAUGAUGCUGUUUCAUCCUUGUCUGUCAAUCUUCUGUCAUCCGUUAGAAAAUUUUGUGCUGCCGCAAGUGCUAUUGGUUCAGAAUUUCUUGAAGAUGAAGUUGGACCUGAAGGUCGAGAAAACUCUUGUGCAUGUCCAGGAGUUGGCCAUUUUAAUAAGACGUCUGGGAACCGCAGAAGUACUGGUAAAGGGGUAGUUUUAUCAAUGGAGUGUAGUUGUCACAUAGAAAGCAAGACUAUCACUGCAAAGACAGAUAAAUGUUUAAACUCUCAAUUGGAGUUAGGAUUAAGAUUUUUUUUCAGAAACAAUGUACUAAUCCCUUUAGAUUCUGACAAGGAUGUUUUAUUUCAUUGCAAAGUUGAGAAUUUGUGCCUCAGUUCUCUUAUAGAGCUAGUUUUGAAGAUCAAGCAGCCCUUAGAUUGAUGUGCUAUAUUGUCAACUCGAGUAAACCUUCUCGUAUUGGAAAGUCUUCCUGCAAUCCAACUGUUAGAUUUCUCGGGAUAUUCUACACGAGGCCUAAGUACUGGAACUUGUGUAGUUCAAGUGUGUCUUAUUAGAUAAAGAUGCAACAGACUGAAAAGUGCACCCAGUCUUCUAGAUCCUACUGGAGUCGAUCUAUACACAGUUCCCAAUCGAAGAUCACAUCCUUGUAUGAUUCAGAUCAGAAACAAACAUCAGGAUGGAGCUAUGGCAACGGAAGUAUUCCUAUUAUUUGGAGCUUUAUUUCCACUUAACAGUGUAGCCAUGGACAUCUCUUUUAUUCCGCAUCAUUCACGGACCUCUGGUAAAAAUAUCAGUUUGAUGAUUGACUUCCUUCUGGGGCAGUUCAGAUUACUGGUUGAGUAAAUAGUAAGUCCGUUUGAUCUUACCUCUGCUCUUUAUUUUCGUUAAAAUUAGAAUCAUCAAUCAAUCCUGCCACAUUAUUUAGUAGUAGCUUUUUGCACUGCUGGUUUGGAGGUAAUCUAUAUCUGCUCAACAUACAUCUAAUUAAAUUAAACUAU